AUUGAACGCUGGCGGCAGGCCUAACACAUGCAAGUCGAACGAGUGGCGGACGGGUGAGUAAUGUCUGGGACACUGCCCGAUGGAGGGGGAUAACUACUGGAAACGGUAGCUAAUACCGCAUACCAUGGGAUGUGCCCAGAUGGGAUUAGCUAGUAGGUGGGGUAAAGGCUCACCUAGGCGACGAUCCCUAGCUGGUCUGAGAGGAUGACAAGCCACACUGGAACUGAGACACGGCCCAUACUCCGACGGGAGGCAGCAGUGGGGAAUAGUGCACAAGGGGCGCAAGCGUGAUGCAGCCAUGCCGCGUGUAUGAAGAAGUCCUUCGGGUUUGAAAGUACUUUCAGCGUGGAAGCGUUACUCUCAGAAGAAGCACCGGCUAACUCCGUGCCAGCAGCCGCGGUAAUUC
rnacentral:rRNA from 1 species